rnacentral:rRNA from 1 species
UACGAAGGGGGCUAGCGUUGCUCGGAAUCACUGGGCGUAAAGCGCACGUAGGCGGAUCUUUAAGUCAGGGGUGAAAUCCUGGAGCUCAACUCCAGAACUGCCUUUGAUACUGAGGAUCUUGAGUCCGGGAGAGGUGAGUGGAACUCCGAGUGUAGAGGUGAAAUUCGUAGAUAUUCGCAAGAACACCAGUGGCGAAGGCGGCUCACUGGCCCGGUACUGACGCUGAGGUGCGAAAGCGUGGGGAGCAAACAGG